rnacentral:rRNA from 1 species
GACGAACGCUGGCGGCGUGCUUAACACAUGCAAGUCGAACGGAAAGGCCCUGCUUUUGUGGGGUGCUCGAGUGGCGAACGGGUGAGUAACCCGUGAGUAACCUGCCCUUGACUUUGGGAUAACUUCAGGAAACUGGGGCUAAUACCGGAUAGGAGCUCCUGCUGCAUGGUGGGGGUUGGAAAGUUUCGGCGGUUGGGGAUGGACUCGCGGCUUAUCAGCUUGUUGGUGGGGUAGUGGCUUACCAAGGCUUUGACGGGUAGCCGGCCUGAGAGGGUGACCGGCCACAUUGGGACUGAGAUACGGCCCAGACUCCAACGGGAGGCAGCAGUGGGGAAGAGUGCACAAUGGGCGGAAGCCUGAUGCAGCAACGCCGCGUGCGGGAUGACGGCCUGCGGGUUGUAAACCGCUUUCGCCUGAGACGAAGCGUGAGUGACGGUAAUGGGUAAAGAAGCUCCGGCUAACUACGUG